AGCAGCCGCGGUAAUUCCAGCUCCAAUAGCGUAUAUUAAAGUUGCUGCAGUUAAAAAGCUCGUAGUUGAAUUUCGGGACCAUCAUGUCGGUCGUGCCUCGGUACGUACUGGCAUUGUUGGUUUCUCCCUUCUGACGAACCAUGAUGUCAUUUAUUUGGUGUCAUGGGAAAUCAGGACUGUUACUUUGAAAAAAUUAGAGUGUUUAAAGCAGGCUCACGCUUGAAUACAUUAGCAUGGAAUAAUGAAAUAGGACGUUUGAUUCUAUUUUGUUGGUUUCUAGGAUCGACGUAAUGAUUAAUAGGGAUAGUUGGGGGCAUUAGUAUUCAAUUGUCAGAGGUGAAAUUCUUGGAUUUAUUGAAGACUAACUACUGCGAAAGCACUUGCCAAGGAUGUUUUCAUUAAUCAAGAACGAAAGUUAGGGGAUCGAAGACGAUCAGAUACCGUCGUAGU
rnacentral:rRNA from 1 species